UACGUAGGCAGCGAGCGUUGUUCGGAAUUACUGGGCGUAAAGAGUGUGUAGGCGGUGCUCUAAGUUCGGUGUGAAAUCUCCUGGCUCAACUGGGAGGGUGCGCCGGAAACUGGAGUGCUUGAGCGUGGGAGAGGAAAGCGGAAUUCCUGGUGUAGCGGUGAAAUGCGUAGAUAUCAGGAGGAACACCUGCGGUGUAGACGGCUUACUGGACGGUAACUGACGCUGAGGCACGAAAGCGUGGGUAGCAAACAGG
rnacentral:rRNA from 1 species